UGCAGUCGAACGGACUCUUCGGAGUUAGUGGCGGACGGGUGAGUAACGCGUGAGAAUCUACCCUUAGGUUGGGGACAACAGUUGGAAACGACUGCUAAUACCCAAUGUGCCGAGAGGUGAAAGGUUUACUGCCUGAGGAUGAGCUCGCGUCUGAUUAGCUAGUUGGUGGGGUAAGAGCGUACCAAGGCGACGAUCAGUAGCUGGUCUGAGAGGAUGAUCAGCCACACUGGGACUGAGACACGGCCCAGACUCCUACGGGAGGCAGCAGUGGGGAAUUUUCCGCAAUGGGCGAAAGCCUGACGGAGCAAGACCGCGUGCGGGAGGACGGCCUGUGGGUUGUAAACCGCUUUUGAUAGGGAAGAAGAUCUGACGGUACCUAUCGAAUCAGCAUCGGCUAACUCCGUGCCAGCAGCCGCGGUAAUACGGAGGAUGCAAGCGUUAUCCGGAAUUAUUGGGCGUAAAGCGUCCGUAGGUGGUUGAGUAAGUCUGCUGUUAAAGCGUGGAGCUUAACUCCAUACCGGCAGUGGAAACUACUGGACUAGAGUGCGGUAGGGGUCAGGGGAAUUCCCAGUGUAGCGGUGAAAUGCGUAGAUAUUGGGAAGAACACCGGUGGCGAAAGCGCCUGACUGGGCCUGCACUGACACUGAGGGACGAAAGCUAGGGGAGCGAAAGGGAUUAGAUACCCCUGUAGUCCUAGCUGUAAAC
rnacentral:rRNA from 1 species